ACUCAAAUGAAUUGACGGGGACCCGCACAAGUGGUGGAGCGUGUUCUUUAAUUCGACGAUAAGCGAAGAACCUUACCAGGACUUGACAUCCUGCUAAUUUCUCCGAAAGGAGAAAGUGCCUUCGGGCCGCAGUGACAGGUGUUGCAUGGCCGUCGUCAGCUCGUGUCGUGAGAUGUUUGGUUAAGUCCAUUAACGAGCGCAACCCUUAUGAUUAGUUGGAUUUUUCUAAUCAGACUGCCUCGGUAACGGGGAGGAAGGAGGGGAUGAUGUCAGGUCAUUAUUGCCCUUACGUCCUGGGCUAGAAACGCGCUACAAUGGCCGGUACAAAGGGCAGCCAACCCGCGAGGGGGAGCAAAUCCCAUCAAAACCGGUCCCAGUUCGGAUUGCAGGCUGAAACUCGCCUGCAUGAAGCCGGAAUCACUAGUAAUCGUAGGUCAGCACACUACGGUGAAUACGUUCCCGGGUCUUGCACACACCGCCCGU
rnacentral:rRNA from 1 species